rnacentral:tRNA from 1 species
GGGUUGCUAACGCAACGCUAGAGUCCUCGGCGACAACCCACGAGUUCCGGGUUCAAGUCCCGGGCAACC